rnacentral:rRNA from 1 species
GGGGAGUGCGGUCGCAAGAUUAAAACUCAAAGGAAUAGACGGGGACCCGCACAAGUGGUGGAGCAUGUGGUUUAAUUCGAAGAUACGCGAAGAACCUUACCUAGCCUUGACAUAUAUUAGAACACUUUAGAGAUAGAGUGGUGCCUUCGGGAGCUUUUAUACAGGUGCUGCACGGCUGUCGUCAGCUCGUGUCGUGAGAUGUUGGGUUAAGUCCCGCAACGAGCGCAACCCUCGUCACUAGUUACUAACGGUUCGGCCGAGGACUCUAGUGAGACUGCCUUCGUAAGGAGGAGGAAGGUGAGGACGACGUCAAGUCAUCAUGGCCCUUACGGCUAGGGCAACACACGUGCUACAAUGGCCAGGACAAUGAGACGCGAUACCGCGAGGUGGAGCAAAUCUAUAAACCUGGUCUCAGUUCGGAUUGUUCUCUGCGACUCCAGAACAUGAAGCUGGAAUCACUAGUAAUCGUAAAUCACCCUAUGCUACGGUGAAAACAUUCCCGGGUCUUGCACACACCGCCCGU